AAGAACUACUAGGGGGGCCCUAUAGAGGGGGCUGAGAAGAAGCAAAUAGCUUCUGACUCUUAUUGACCUGAUCUGGUUAAGACCAGCGGAGGGAAGUAGUAGAGAGAUUUU
rnacentral:ncRNA from 1 species